GACGAACGCUGGCGGCGUGCCUAAUACAUGCAAGUCGAGCGCAGGAAGCUGACGGAACUCUUCGGAGGGAAGGCAGUGGAAUGAGCGGCGGACGGGUGAGUAACACGUAAGGAACCUGCCUCAAGGAUUGGGAUAACUCCGAGAAAUCGGAGCUAAUACCGGAUAGUUCAACGGACCGCAUGGUCCGCUGAUGAAAGGCGCUCCGGCGUCACCUUGAGAUGGCCUUGCGGUGCAUUAGCUAGUUGGUGGGGUGACGGCCCACCAAGGCGACGAUGCAUAGCCGACCUGAGAGGGUGAUCGGCCACACUGGGACUGAGACACGGCCCAGACUCCUACGGGAGGCAGCAGUAGGGAAUCUUCCACAAUGGACGAAAGUCUGAUGGAGCAACGCCGCGUGAGUGAUGAAGGUUUUCGGAUCGUAAAACUCUGUUGUAAGGGAAGAACACGUACGAGAGGAAAUGCUCGUACCUUGACGGUACCUUACGAGAAAGCCACGGCUAACUACGUGCCAGCCGCCGCCGUAACAC
rnacentral:rRNA from 1 species